CACGUAGGUGGAUUGUUAAGUUAGUUGUGAAAGCCCCGGGCUUAACCUGGGAAUUGCUGCUGAUACUGGCAGUCUAGAGUAUGAUAGAGGGAAGUGGAAUUUCCGGUGUAGCGGUGAAAUGCGUAGAUAUCGGAAAGAACACCAGUGGCGAAGGCGACUUCCUGGAUUAAUACUGACACUGAGGUGCGAAAGCGUGGGGAGCAAACA
rnacentral:rRNA from 1 species